UUCAGAAUCCGGUUGAUCCUGCCGGACCUGACUGCUAUCGGAUUGAUACUAAGCCAUGCGAGUCUUUGUAGUAAUACAAGGCAGACGGCUCAGUAACGCGUAGUCAACCUACCCUAUGGACGGGAAUAAUCUCGGGAAACUGAGCAUAAUACCCGGCGUACCAUCAUUCCUGGAAUGGUUGGUGGUUAAAAUGAUUCGUCGCCGUAGGAUGGGACUGCGACCUAUCAGCUUGUUGGUGGGGUAAAGGCCCACCAAGGCGAUUACAGGUACGGGCUCUGAGAGGAGAAGCCUGGAGAUGGGUACUGAGACACGGACCCAGGCCCUAUGGGGCGCAGCAGGCGAGAAAACUUUGCAAUGUGCGAAAGCACGACAAGGUUAAUCCGAGUGAUUUCUGCUAAAGGAAUCUUUUGCCAGUUCUAAAAAUACUAGUGAAUAAGGGGUGGGCAAGUUCUGGUGUCAGCCGCCGCGGUAAAACCAGCACCUCAAGUGGUCAGGAGGAUUAUUGGGCCUAAAGCAUCCGUAGCCUGCUCUGUAAGUUUUCGGUUAAAUCUAUAUGCUCAACGUAUAGGCCGCCGAAAAUACUGCAGUGCUAGGAAGUGGGAGAGGUAGACGGUACUUGGUAGGAAGGGGUAAAAUCCU
rnacentral:rRNA from 1 species